rnacentral:lncRNA from 1 species
GAGGAGGACCUUCCUCUCUUCUCCAGCCAGCCGCCGGCCACACCGUCGCCGGUGAAUGUUUGCCCCCGUCUCUCUCCGUCUCGAUUUCCUCUUUGUCGCUGAUUCGUACGUACCCAGCCGCCCAGCCUCCGAUCACUGGUGGUCGUCGCUGUACAGCCCGUAAGUUAUUUAGAGACUUUUAAGGUUAAUUCCAAAUGGGGGUUAGCCCCUAAUUAUUGAAAGUAAUUCUAGCUUGUGAUUUACGUGUGAAUUGAGGCUUCAGUCAGCUAAAUGAAGAUUAUUUGAAUAUUUGUUGAGAUUCAAUUGCGAGGUAAGUGACUCUAUUGUUGGAAUGCUCAAGAGCCAAGCAAAAUUGAGGAAGAUUAUUUGGAGAUUAGUAUUUUAGUAUGAUUUGUGAUUUUAUUUGGGACUUCAUGCAUGUAUGUAUGUUCGUGGAUUUACUAACUUGAUAUGAUGCCUAGAAUGACAUAGUUUGAGUUUGGAAUUGCAUGGUUUAGCCUAGAAUGACACGAUUUUAUGUAUAGAUUAGCAAAGACGGUAAGUACUUGAAAGUAUUAGCAAAGUUUAAGAGAUUUUGACUUUGGGGGGAAAUCAGAACUAGAGAAGUAGGUGAAAAGUCAUCAAUUUGAUUGAAAAGACGAAGUAAUUAAGCAUGAAGUAAACAAUGAGUUACUAGUGUUAAAAGUAAAGUAAGUUAGAUCUCCCACGAUUAUCAUUAUCACAAGAGGUGAACUUGAGAAUAGAGUUUGGGCUGAGAGAAACUCCCGUUCCCCAAGGUUUCUUAUGAAGAGGCUUUAGCAGAGUUGGAGUCUGUUAAACUGUUUUAAAAGUUUGGUUGUUCUUAGAGGGAUAUUAAAAUUGAAUGUUCUUUCUUUCUGUGUUAGGACUUGAUUGAUUGUGUCAGGUGCUUUUUGGUUUAAUAAUUUUUAUUUGGGAAGUCUUAGAUUGUUCCUCGCUCUUUUAGUAAAAAAGUAGAGGACUAGUUUCGUUGUUUAGUUUUUUCGUUGUGCUUGCGUUUAAAUAGUUUAUAAAGUUUGAUAAUACUCCCUAAUUUAAGUGCUAAUUUUGGGUUGUUAUAAAGACGAUGGAACAGCGAGCAGAGGGUGAGUCGAUAAGAGUAGCCUCUGAGGAGCUCUCUCAGGAGUUCAAAACUUUGAUGAAUACUGAUGAUUUGAACUCUCUCAACCAUUUGCAACACCUCAUGUAAGUUCUGUUCUCACUCUUCUGCUUAUCAGCAUCCCUCUCAAAAGUAGAGGGGAAAUUUGACAAAUUAGGACUCAAAUUGGAGUUCUGUACUAACUUGAUCGUUGAACUGUUUGAUAUACUUUUUUCAUUUAUGAAAAUUUGAAGAAUAUGUAAAAUUAUUAUUAUUAUUACAUUGAUUGUUCCAUUGAAUCUCUCAUUGCAGAUUGGGCAGAUUGCAGGAUAGCAAUGCAGUCCUGUCUCAUUUCAACGAGUUUUCGGAGCAUUGCUUUGCUGAAGUUUCUGGAGAUCUAUCUAGAAAUACUCGUCUUUUAAACUCUAUGAAAUCUGACCUUGAUUACAUAUUUCAGAAAAUAAGGUAUGGUGGUGAUCAUUUUUUUAGUGACACAUGAGUUCUUUUCAUUAUUGUUUAUGGUUUUAGGUGGUGCUUUUGUUCUACCAUGUCCAAAGUUAUAUUUGUUGAAAUUUGGCUUAGAAUUCAACCCUUAAACUUCAAAAUGAUUUAAAUGAUGCAAAUCAUAUAAGAAAUGGUGUGAAAAUAGGCUUAAUUUUCAAAAGCCAAAAAUAAAAAGUGAAAUGGUUACCAUCUGGAACCUUCAAAUUUCUUCUUUGCUGUGAUGCACCCGUACUAGUUGUAGUAGACGGAAUUAUACAUCCUCUCUGCUCUUUCUUGCAUCUUAUUUCACUACAAGAAAAUUUUGAAAUUGUAUCCUGAUGACCUUGAAGAUCAUGACCAAAUAUAGCCAUAUCUCUCUAGUUUGUUUAGUUCAUCUAUUUCUUUUUCCUUCUCCUUUUUUUCAU